CAGCCGCCGCGGUAAUACGGAGGGAGCUAGCGUUGUUCGGAAUUACUGGGCGUAAAGCGCGCGUAGGCGGUUACUCAAGUCAGAGGUGAAAGCCCGGGGCUCAACCCCGGAACUGCCUUUGAAACUAGGUGACUAGAAUCUUGGAGAGGUCAGUGGAAUUCCGAGUGUAGAGGUGAAAUUCGUAGAUAUUCGGAAGAACACCAGUGGCGAAGGCGACUGACUGGACAAGUAUUGACGCUGAGGUGCGAAAGCGUGGGGAGCAAACAGGAUUAGAGACCCGAGUAGUCCCUGUCUCUUAUAA
rnacentral:rRNA from 1 species